rnacentral:lncRNA from 1 species
GUAGAGAGGGAAUGAGAAAGAGAGGUAGAGGUAGCGGUAGAGAGGGAAUGAGAAGGAGAGGUAGAGAGGGAAUCGGAGGUAGAGGAAGAGAGAUAAAGAGAAGGAGAGGUAAAGGCAGAGAGAGAAAGAGAAGGAGAAGUAGAGAGGGAAUGAGAAGAAGAGGUAGAGCGGGAAUGAGAAGGAGAGGUAGAGGUAGAGGUAGAGAGAUAAAGAGAAGUAGAGGUAGAGGUAGAGGUAGAGAGAGAAAGAAAAUUAGAGGUAGAGAGAGAAGAAGAAAGAGAGGUAGAGAGAGAGAAGAAGAAAGAGAGAUAGAGUUAGAGAGAGAAAGAGAAGGAGAGGUAG